AUUGAACGCUGGCGGCAGGCCUAACACCUGCAAGUCGAACGAGUGGCGGACGGGUGAGUAAUGUCUGGGAAACUGCCCGAUGGAGGGGGAUAACUACUGGAAACGGUAGCUAAUACCGCAUACCCUCGGAUGUGCCCAGCUGGGAUUAGCUAGUAGGUGGGGUAACGGCUCACCUAGGCGACGAGCCCUAGCUGGUCUGAGAGGAUGAACGGCCACACUGGAAUGGAGACACGGUCCAUACUCCUACGGGAGGCAGCAGUGGGGAAUAUUGCACAAUGGGCGCAAGCCUGAUGCAGCCAUGCCGCGUGUAUGAAGAAGGCCUUCGGGUUGUAAAGUACUUUCAGCGAGGAGGCGUUACUCGCAGAAGAAGCACCGGCUAACUCCGUGCCAGCCGCCGCGGUAAUAC
rnacentral:rRNA from 1 species